rnacentral:rRNA from 1 species
GUCCACGCCCUAAACGAUGCGAACUGGACGUUGGGCACAAUUUGGUGCUCAGUGUCGAAGCUAACGCGUUAAGUUCGCCGCCUGGGGAGUACGCUCGCAAGAGUGAAACUCAAAGGAAUUGACGGUGGCCCCGCACAAGCGGUGGAGUAUGUGGUUUAAUUCGAUGCAACGCGCAGAACCUUACCUGGUCUUGACAUGUCUCGAAUCCUUCAGAGAUGAGGGAGUGCCUUCGGGAACGCGAACACAGGUGCUGCAUGGCUGUCGU